UCUCCGUUGGUGAACCAGCGGAGGGAUCAUUAUCGAGUUUAUAACUCCCAAACCCUAUGUGAACUUACCACUUGUUGCUUCGGCGCGCGCUUCGGCGCCGCCGAGGACACUUAAACUCCUUGUUUUUAUAAGCAUUUCUGAGUGGCCGAAAGGCAAAAUACAAAUGAAUCAAAACUUUCAACAACGGAUCUCUCGGUUCUG
rnacentral:misc_RNA from 1 species